rnacentral:lncRNA from 1 species
CUUGCCCCUCUCCAGCUUUUCUGGUCCAACCCUCUUCUGCGCCUAACACUGGCACCUCCUUUUCUUCCGGCUGAUGAAUAAUUGUCCGCAAACCAGCCUCUCUGGGGCACUGAGGGGCGGGAAGGUUAGAAGGAGCCAGGGCUAGAGUCCUGGAAGGUGGCAGUCAGGUCGCAGGGCCACAGCAGUCACUCUGCGACUCUCUCUUCCGGUGUUUCUCCAGCGCCAAGCGGGAGAAGACGGAGCCUGGGAGCUGGGACUGGAGGAGCGGGAAGCGCAGUAUCGGGACCACGGCUCUGGGACCAGGAAAAACGCAGACUCUCCAGAGUCAAUGUCUACUUCAGCCAGCUCAAGGGCGCGACAACCUGGCGCCGAGCAUCUCAGGCCGCCGCGGGGACCCCCCCUAAGGGACUCGGGAACACCUGCCUACCCUAGAAGAGGCGGAGAAUAACCCCGUAGGGAGUUAAGCGGCCUCUGCCUACAGCGUUCCUCCCGCCUCCACGGCGCCGAGCCCUGAUUGACGUUCAGCCAGGCCAAUCAUAGCCUGUGUCUGAGGCGCGCGGAGCUGGAGCGCCCAGGGCAUGUCCGCCGAUCCCAAGGAGGCAAUCUGUCAGGCGCCGCCCGGGCGGCAGUAUGCCUGAGGGGGUCCUCCGUGUUCGCGCCUCCCGCCGCCUGCACUGAAAGGUCUGUACCUGAGCCUGGAUACUUGAACAGAGGCAGACACUGCGGCUCAAAACCCCAAGGGUAGGUACCUAUUGUGCGGAGUCUCGGAACGCCUGCCUGGAAGAAGAGUUCCGGCGGCUCCCCGAACGCUUGGAGAAAGCGCUUGGAUGCAGUUGCAGGAAUAUCCUAGCUCUGAGACAAAAAUUGGGAACCUCAGCAUGAGUUUGUCACCUGAAUGAAAUAAAAAAAAUCACGUUGAAGGCUGGUGCAGUAACAUGUGCCUGUAGUCCCAGCUACUCUGGAGGCUGAGUCAGGAGGAUCACUUGAGACCAGAAGUUCAGGAAUUCAAGACUGGCUUGAGCAACAUAGCAAGACUUCAUUUCAAAACAAACAGAAAAAAGCCACCACCUUCAGUAUUUCUUGCCAAAGCAAAGGAGCCAUUUGUUCUUUACGAUGGUCAGGAAAGGAAGCAUCAAGGUCAUCAAAUGAAAAAUUUUCAGCAUUUCAGCCUCUCUGCUCAGGGAAAUAUCUGAAUCUAGAAUAUCACAACAUGAGCCAAAACCGCCCCAUUUCUCAUGCCACAUGUCACUCUUAACACAAGGUUACUCAACCUCGAGCAUGGUUGGCAUUUGGGGCUGAAUAAUUCUUUUUUGUAGGGGGCUGUCCUGGGCAUUGUAGGAUGCUCAUGAGCUACCUCAGUCUCUACCACCCACUAGAUGCCAGUAGCAUUGACCCCUGAUCUCUCUACCCAAGUUGUGACAACUAAAACCAUCUCUGGAUAAUGGAGGAACCUUAAAUGCAUAUUGCUAAGGAAAAGCCAAUCUGAAAGGAUUACAUAUUGUAUGAGUCCAACUAUAUGGUAAUCUGGAAAAGGCAAAACCAUGGAGACAGUGAAAAGGUAGUGGUUACCAGUGGUCCAUGGGAAGGGUUGGAUGAAUAGGUGGAGCACAGAGGAUUUUUAAGGCAGUGAAACUAUUCUGAAUGAUACUGUAAUGGUGGAUACAUGUCAUACCUUUGUCAAAACCAAUAAAAUAUAACAACCAAUAAAACUGCACAAAGAGUGAACCCUAAUGUAAACUAUGGACUUAAUAAUGUAUCAAUAUUGGCUCACCAAUUUUAACAAAUGUACCACACUAAUGCAAGAUGUUACUAAUAGUGGAAACUGGAGGGAAGAGGGCUUGAGGGGACAUACGGGAACUCUCUGUAAUUCCUGUUCAGUUUUUCUGUAACUGUUAAACUGUCCAAAAAAAGUCUGUUUUUAUAAAUGGAGGCAUGGUUUUAUAUGGACUAAAAUACUAUGAUUGCCUUUUUAUUUUACACAUGGUGAAAUUAGAGCAGGACAUAUUUUAAACUCAAAAUUCACAAAAUUAAUUUAUGAAAAUGUUUACCCAGAUCAAGAAUAUUAAAGAAACUUAGAUUAAUAUUGUUACCUUGAAUUUAUUUUACUGAGUAAUCCUCUAAGACUCCUCUACACAUUAUUAAUCUAGAAGGAUUUUUAAAGUCUUUAUGACAAUUAAUUAUUGGUCUACAGUCAAAUUGCGUAUCCCCAUUAACUAGAGUUAUAUUUUUCCAUUUUCUGAUCCAAAAACUUUAGGAACAGGAAAUGUUUAUUUUAGAAAACAAGAACACUUCUUAAGCAUUUGCUGUUAACAGUUAUUUUCACAUGUGCUUGUACUUAUUUUACACUUGUCAGAACAUAGUAUUUACCUUUGAACCAAGGUUUUAUAAUAAGCAAGCACUUUUUUUAUUUAGAAGUCACAUUUUCCAAGUAGAAAAAUCAUUAAAAAUUCAGUCCUCUGAAGGCUAAUUUCUUUAAAUCAUUUAACCUAAUUGUUUAAGGUAUAGAUUGGAAUUUUUCUCAGCACUCUCUUGAAAACAGGUGACAGUGGAACCCUGUUAGGUUCACAAAUCCUAGACUUUGAUUAUAUAGCCCAGGCUCAAAUUUUUCUCGAAUGUUACGAACAUUCAAAGCAUUAGGAGUCUUGGUUUCAUUUCUUAAUUUUUUUUCUUCUGGGUAUAUUUGAGACUCAUCUUGGAUUCAAAUAAAUUAAUAAUAGUCUCAUGAAACCGAUAAAAAUGGGAGCUCCAUUGAACAUGAGAGACAUUGAUUCGUAGUUUCUAACAUCCUCCAAAUGAGGAGCCCAUCCCUAAUUUAGAUGCUUCUUUCAAAGGAGGCUCCUUUCCUUCGUUAUCCAUAAUAUAGUCACACCAGUCCUGAAAAAACAUGGAACAGACUCCAGAUCUUUAUAUUUCAUACUCUAAAGUCGUACAAGCCAAUCUGCAUUUCCUCUAGUGGAAACUGUAUAGCUGGUCAUCUUUCCAGGACCCUUUUAUCAAGAAACAAUGCAGCUUCUACAUUUGUGCUGCUUCUACACCAAAACAGCUGGAAUGUAUAUAGUAUGGUUCUGGAUGCUCUUGUAUACCUCACUCUUCAUUUCUCACCUAACCCAUGUGCUAUGAUUUGAAUGUUUCUCCCCUGCAAAACUCAUGUUGAAAUGUAAUUGCCAUGAUAACAGUAUUAAUAGGUGGAAUAUUUAAGAGGUGAUUAGGGUGGGAUUGGUGAUGUUAUAAAAGGGUAAGUUCAGCCCCUUCUUGCUCUCUCUGUCACCCUUCCACCUUCCUCUGUGUGAUGAUGCAACAAAAAAGCCCUUCCCAGAUGCCAGCAUCUUGAUUUUGGACUUCUCAGCCUACAGAACUAUAAGCCAAUAAAUUUCUGUUAUUUGUUAUUAGUCUGUGAUAUUCUGUUACAGUAGCACAAAAUGGACUAUGACACCAUGUGUUUACACAGAAAGAAAAAAAUAUCAUACGGUAAUUGCUCCUAAAUAUGCAGAGAAUAUGUUCUGAUAUCCUUAGUGGAUGCCUGAAACUGCAGAUAGUACCAAACCUUAUAUAUACUAUGUUUUUUUUCCCAUACAUAUGCAUGUUAAAGUUUAUAAGUUAGGCAGAGUAAGAUAUGAACAAUAACUAAUAAUGAAAUAGAAACGUAACGAUGUGCUGUAAUAAAAGUUAUGUGACUGACGCCUCUUUUUCUUCCUCUUUCUUUCAAAAUAUCUUAAUAUUUUCAAGCCAUGGAUAACUGAAACUGCAGAAAGUGAAACUGUAGAUAAACUAUUAACUCUAUUUAAACAAUAAAAGAAUUAUAAUUAUAUUCUUGGGAAAAUUAACAAUUAUCCAAAGUCCCUUUGCAAAGGGAAAAAAAAUGCAUGUAUUGGAAAAAAUCUCAACCACAGGGUUCCCUAAGCUUUGCAAACAACAAAUAGCAUCCACCUAUCCAUCCUCAGAGAGCAACAGUUUUACUGUUAUUUAGAAAAAGCAACUAUUUCAGGCUGCAGGUUGUGCACAUCAGCACUUCCCAGCUCUCUACUAAUAUGGGAAAACUGACUAUCCCUGACUUCAGUUUUUGUGAAGCUAAAUGCCUGACUAGAGUUUAAACUGAGGCUAAUUGGAGAUCAUAAAAUUUUACAGCUUGCUAGAGGUGGACCACAAUUUUGAUUGGAAACUUUCCACCAACCAAUUCUAAAAGGUGUUAAUGGUGACUAUUUUCUAAAACAAAUCUGAAGAGUAACUAAU